GAGAGCUCGCGCAGCUGUACCUAAGGCAAACAUGGGACCAGGCACGUCUCCCGUGACGGAGUCAGAAAGAGACGAUAAAAUGUCUAAACCUAAAGGAACUUCGGUAUCUUUACCGCAGCACUCCUAUUGGUAUGACUUUUGGAUGUUCGUGCUCUUUGACGUGGCGUUUUUCCUCGUCAUGUAUUACAUAGUCCCGUAGAAAGGUUUAAGGUUUGUCUCCUGGACUCAGGAGCCUGAAGACAUGGAGUGAUGGUCCUGCCCUCCUGUCAGGAACGCUAACCCAGCUUUGACUGAAUUUAACACCACGCUAAUGGAUAUCACAUCGCAAGUUUCCUCAGCUUGGACCACGGAUCUGCCAGUCUUGUACACAUGCGGCAUUCUGCUUUGACACUAGAGCUUUGACCCACUGAGCUCCUUCCCUCGGUGACGUGUUGCCAGUUGUUGUGGACUGUCUUUCUGCAUGGAUGGAUUCACGUUGUUCCCUUGGGGAAGAGAAAGAAACUUAAAGUAUUUUUAUUGAAAAGUGACAAUGGCCAUCUAAUGAUCUUCACUGAUCCCCAGAGGGGAAAUUAGGUUAAAAAAAAAGGCAAAAUAAACUGAUGAAGUUGUGGAAUAUCAUCCCAGCACAUGAAAAAUGUUAAACUUUGCACAUCGAAAAUACGCGAAUAAAAUGUUUUACCUACCUACUAAAU